GACGAACGCUGGCGGCGUGCCUAAUACAUGCAAGUCGAACGCUUCUUUCCUCCCGAGUGCUUGCACUCAAUUGGAAAGAGGAGUGGCGGACGGGUGAGUAACACGUGGGUAACCUACCCAUCAGAGGGGGAUAACACUUGGAAACAGGUGCUAAUACCGCAUAACAGUUUAUGCCGCAUGGCAUAAGAGUGAAAGGCGCUUUCGGGUGUCGCUGAUGGAUGGACCCGCGGUGCAUUAGCUAGUUGGUGAGGUAACGGCUCACCAAGGCCACGAUGCAUAGCCGACCUGAGAGGGUGAUCGGCCACACUGGGACUGAGAAACGGCCCAGACUCCUACGGGAGGCAGCAGUAGGGAAUCUUCGGCAAAGGACGAAAGUCUGACCGAGCAACGCCGCGUGAGUGAAGAAGGUUUUCGGAUCGUAAAACUCUGUUGUUAGAGAAGAACAAGGACGUUAGUAACUGAACGUCCCCUGACGGUAUCUAACCAGAAAGCCACGGCUAACUACGUG
rnacentral:rRNA from 1 species